UGCAGGAUGAAGUCAUUGGAACAGGACGCUCUCCGAGCACAGAUGGUCCUCAGCAGGUCCCAGGAAGGCCGGGGCACGCGGGGGCCCCUGGAGCGACUGGCCGAGGCCCCUUCCCCUGCGCCCACCCCGUCGCCCACCCCUGUGGAAGACCUCGGCCCCCAGACCAGCACCUCCCCGGGACGCCUGUCACCGGACUUUGCUGAGGAGUUGAGGUCCCUGGAACCAUCUCCCA
rnacentral:lncRNA from 1 species